UGAUGCUUCCCGCCACAAGAGCACCAUCCAGCUUGGCCGCGGAGCUUGCAGCGAUCUUGUGUUGUUCCGAGUCGGUGGAGGCGGAGCCAGGUCUGCGGAGAUAAAGCUGCUGCUUGUUUCCCAUGCAUUUCCCGCAGGAGUCAGUCUGGGGCCAAGUUGAUGCCCUGGAGGGAGAGCUGUGCUCGGCAAGGUUUAAAUGGAUACGAUCGUUCAGCUGGAUGAUUUCAUCGCCGGGUGGAUCGGAGACUCGCUUGCAAGCCGGCCAUGGGUACAAGAACACUGCCCAAUGUGUACUAACAAUUUUAAAAAACGAACACGUGGCUGGGUUCUUCAAAGGUUUAUCCUUCCCCUUAGCCAGCAUCGCCGUGUAUAACUCGGUGGCGCUCGGUGUGUACAGUAAUGCUCAGAGGUUCAUUUGUCAGUAUCGACAUGGUGAUAACGGACACCAAAGUCCUGCUCUAUCUGAUGUGGCGGCUGCGAGCGCGGUAGUGGGUCUCGUCACAGUGGGAAUUGGUGCCCCGGUGGAAUUGGUCAAGAUCAGACUACAAAUGCAGACUCAGUCUGUGAGGCCAGCUAAAUUAAACUUGGUUGGUGCUAGUGCCAUUCACUCACUUGCACUGAAUGAUCAGCCUCUAUACAGGGGGCCUGUGCACUGCAUUAGCAGAAUACUGCGGAACGAAGGCAUUGUUGGACUGUACCGAGGUGUCGGAGCCAUGUACCUCAGAGAUGUUCCAGGAUAUUGUUUGUACUUUGUUCCUUACAUGUUGCUGUGUGACUGGAUGACACCCGUGGGGAGCACAGCACCCAAUCUGUUUUGUGUGUGGCUGGCCGGUGGUGUGGCAGGUAUCCAUAGAUGCAGCUCAGGCAAUACAAAGGUGUUAGCAAGAUUAACAUGUGCGGCUGGCACAUUUCAUCAAAUUAUAAUUCUUCACUCAAUAUUUGAUUUUCCACACCCGUUGCUGGAAAAUUAUGAUUCCUCCAAAUCCAGUUCCUCAGACUCGCACCCAAAACCCAUCACUGCCUCAGAGGAGGAAAGGGAGGAUGAUGAUGAGGUGCCUGGUGAGGGGAACAAUAUCGUGGGGCACUGCAACUCCCAUGGAUGUUGUCAAAAGUCGCCUUCAAGCUGAUGGAGUCAGCGAGACAAGAUACAAGGGGAUAGUGCAUUGUAUUCAACAGAGCUACCGAAAGGAAGGACUGAAUGUAUUUUUUAAAGGAGCAGCCUUGAAUGCUAUUCGUGGAUUCCCUAUGAGUGCAGCCAUGUUUUUGGGAUAUGAACUCGCACUGAAAGCAUUGCGAGGUCAAUAAGCAGAAAAGUAACAUUUGACUUCUGAUGUUUAUCAAACUUGACGAGUUGCACAGUUCUUUACCCCGUCCAGCAGUUGAUCAAAUUUAUAAAAAUUGACUCUUCGUUCCUUGGCUCCUGAUUUCAAUUUGCCACAACUCAUUUUCAGAAAGAGCAUUAGAAGCCAAAGAGACAACUUGGAAUGAUGGUUUGCUUCAAAAGUUAUGUGCAACGUCUACUGGGAAAAUAGGUUGAAUGUAUUAAUGGAAAUCACGAAACAUUGAGGAGCAAUCAUGAGGGAGGAUCUUUACUUGAAACAUAGACUGACUAAUUUCCAUUUCACUACAAAGGCUGCCUAACCUGCUUUUUCUGGCUUUUGCUGUUUCUGUUUUUAGAGUUAGAGGUGGGGAGGGAGUUAAUUGGCAGAAUUAAUGGGAGAUGAAAAUCAUACAGCGACUCACAGAAGAUAUCUAAGUAGGGUUGCCAACACAAGUUGGACUUGUUCUUGGAGGUUUCAUCACACAACCACCUGUUUCCAACCAGUUGCUCGCACAACAGCUUCCCACCACGACCCCCGCCACACCCACCAAUAUUUUCAAUAUUCUUACAACUAAUGAAAAGUGUAAGGAAAUGAAGAAGAAACAGUUUUUUAAAUGCCUCUAUGAAUUUUAUCCUGGGCUGCUGGCAGCAGUGUCCUCGAGAUUCACCUUUAAUUCCUGAAGGCUCCAAGAUAAUCCUGGAUAUUUGGUAACCCGAUGUUCAACUGUUUUGGAUGAAUUAAUUGUUCAGAAUUGUUCUAAUCAUCUACCUAUCAUCAGAUUGAUUUGUAUUAGAAAAUCACAGCAAGAAAAACAUAAUAGGGAAAAAAGAAAUGACCAUAGAUUUCACCUUCAGUGUUUACAUAUUUAAAACUUUAUUGGACAUAACUUACAACUUUUUUGAUGAAUAAUUUUAUAAUUAAGUGACAAGAAUAAAUUACAUUAUUUUUACAUUAAAUAACAGAAGAUGAACAUUGUUGUUGCUACUUUUGGUGAUGUCUGAAGAAGCAUGGCCUAAUUGCUAGGUUAGUUGAGAGCGUCUAAAAAUUUUGGCCCAAAAAACUUGACAUGUUAAUGACAGUAAUGUUAAUGCCAAGAACUAAUGCAGGCUUUGUCUCAUGGCACAGAACUGUGUGAGGAGAGAGAGAGGCUGGGAGGAGAGAAAGAAAUAGAGCAAGUGUGGAUCUGGCUAAGCCAAGUUAUUUUACAGAAUGAGAAUGGGAACAAUACAGAUUUUAUAUGAGAGAGCAGGUCUGUAGGCUGUGUGACCAAGAAGGGCUGGGUUAAUAUAGGCUUUGUAAGAGAUGUAGCUGUGUAUGCGUGUGAAAAUACAGAUGUGUGUGUGAAAGACAGUGACCUAAUAAAGGAUGUAAUACAAACUAGAAGCAAGAAACAGAAUGAAACGAGAAAUAUGAAGGGGUAAAGUAGGGGAAGAGAAAGCUGGGAGAAAUAAAGAAACUGAGUUGAACAGAAAAGAGAUUGUGGGACUGAGAAAGAAAGACAAAACACACACACACACACACACACACACCCCCCUCAUCCUAAUAUGCCUGGAGUUUAAUAUUUUCUUCCAUUUUCUGCUUUCAAGUCCAGAAUGUUUAAUUUCUUUAAGAUUUUAGUGUUGGAAUUUCAUCAGUUUAUGAAAGAGGGCAAGGAGGGAAACCAUAGGUGAGUGAGAGCUUGAAAAAUUGUUGAAUGCAUGGACUAGGGAGUUAGGGCAAAGAUAUCCUCCUUUCUAGCUAUCAAGAAGAACUUGCAUUUAUAUAAUGCGUUUAAUGUUUAAGAAAAAAUCCCAAAGAGCUUGCAUCUUGUAUAGAGAGAAUUAAGUCCAAAGAUGGCAUCCUGUGAGUUUACAGCAUAAAUGAAUAGUACGGCCAACUCAACGUUGCACCUGUAGAUACAACUCAUACAUACUCCUUAAAAUGCUUAAAUUCUAAGUGUUAAAUAGAAUUCAGAGGCUGGCAAGAAGCACAUAGGGUUAUCAUAGGCAUUGAGUUGGCAGGGGUAGUUAACUGGGCAUCAGAGUCAUCAAUCUGCAUCAGGAUAUAUAUUUCAACAUUAAUGUGGAGCACAGCAAAAUACGCAGAGAGAUUUCUCGUAAAGUCAUAGAGCGCAGAAGGAGGCCAUUUGGCCCAUCAUGUCUGUGCUGGCUCUUUCAAAGAGCUAACCAAUGAGUUCCACUCCCCUGUUCUUUCUCCACACCCUUCAAUUUUUUUCCUUUUUAGUCAUAUGUUUUGUAAAUAUCUUGCCUCUGUUUGCAGAUGGAUGCUAUCUAACUGAGAAGCCUUCAGAAAGGAUUAAUGAAAACUCCAUUUAUUGAAUAAAUGUAUUCAAAAUAUUCUGUAUUUAUAGGAGCAGACUAGCCCUAUUGAAAAACAUUUGUCCUCACGAUUGAUUCCAUAGCACUAUAAUAUUGCCAUCCUGUUUCUUCCAUGAAGAUCUAGCGCCCCUUCAGGGUGCCAGUCUUUCCGUAUGUGUAUUAAAUGUUGAUCUGAUUCACAGGCUACUUACAGCUGAUGACAGAGAUGAAAGCCUUGAUCUUGGUGCUGACAGACUCUCUGCUAAGCUGCUAAGCAAGAUGAAUUGUGUUUUGCUGGUGAACUUUUAAAUGGGUGCACUUCAAGGCACAAUCUUAUUCUGUAGCAAAACAAUUCACUUUCUGCUGCCCAGUAAAAAUUGGUUGGCUAAUUAUAAUCAUGAAAACAUGCUAAAAAGGUAUAGUUGGGUACUGGGAGAUUAGACUGGGAAAUUCACAAGGGUAUUUUUUUGUCAUCUGGUCCAUUGGUGUCACAUAGAAGUUAUGUUGUCCUUUUCCCUCUGUGGGUUACUGAUUUCUAAUGGUAAUGUGAUUAUGUUGGCUUUUGUGUUCCUUUAAUAGCUCACUGUACAAAAAAAAAAUGCAAAAGUAGAAUAAUAUUAUUUAUGUUCUUCAUAAUAAAAUAUGUCUGCAUUACAGGGUGUAAGUCAAACAAAUCUUCAGCAUUCAAGUAGAAUUGAUCUCACCAAUGUUCAGAUUGAUAGAGUUUGCAAAUCCCAAAUCCUCAUUUGUAUAUGCUGUAAGCAAGAUGUUCAUAUUACCAGUUUACCAUGUCUUCUAUCAUCUUUUAUCAACUGAUAUGGCAGAAUAUAUUACUUUAUUUCAUUGUAAAUUAGAUACCAUGUAUCUGAGUUUUACAUUACUGAUGUAAAUACUAUUUGUGACAGGCUAUAAAAAGGUCUGAUGACCCUUUUGUGUAGGAAGUAAUUUCUUUGCUGUUUGUACAUUUAAAUCCUAUUUUAAGUUGCUAUCUAUAGGUGGUGAACCAAAUUGCACAAUAUUACAUGGCCUUGAGGGAUAAACUUUUGAUCCACUGUUCUGCUGUGUCCCCGUUCUCAUCUGUGGGAAGGCAGCAAUCAGAGGCCAACCAUAUCUCUGGAAGGAGGGACACCUGCGCUGCUGAUAUGCGUCUUCUAAUGUAUUGAUAAUAUCCUGGAAGUGAGUUGGUUGCAGUUUUGACUGAGGCAUGUAUCUGGCAGAAUCAGGAACACUAAGCGACAAAAUAUAACAUUGAUAUAUCUGUGCAAUAUGUAAUGCAUUCAGAGAUUUGAUCAACAAUAAAGAAUAAUCUAGCCAGAAA